rnacentral:lncRNA from 1 species
CGAAGGUCGGGGUCCCAAGACCCCCCAGCGGAAAAAUGGCCAAGAAACGGGUGGGCUAUAGCCUUGGUGGGGGGCGUGGGCGAAGUUCGUCCGUGGGACUCGGAAUGGCCCCAGACUUGGCGGGCGGCCUCCGUGUGCCAAAAAUAGGCCACAGGCACAGCCGCGCCCAAAAAUCAGCCCCCGAAGGUCGGGGUCACAAGACCCCCCAGCGGAAAAAAGGCCAAGAAACGCGUGGGCUAUAGCCUUGGUGGGGGGCGUGGGCGAAGUUCGUCCGCGGGACUCGGAAUGGCCCCAGACUUGGCGGGCGGCCUCCGUGUGCCAAAAAUAGGCCACGGGCAAAGCCGCGCCCAAAAAUCAGCCCCCGAAGGUCGAGGUCACAAGACCCCCCAGCGGAAAAAAGGCCAAGAAACGCGUGAGCUAUAGCCUUGGUGGGGGGCGUGGGCGAAGUUCGUCCGCGGGACUCGGAAUGGCACCAUACUUGGCGGGCGGCCUCCGUGUGCCAAAAAUAGGCCACAGGCACAGCCGCGCCCAAAAAUCAGCCCCCGAAGGUCGGGGUCCCAAGACCCCCCAGCGGAAAAAUGGCCAAAAAACGGGUGGGCUAUAGCCUUGGUGGGGGGCGUGGGCGAAGUUCGUCCGCGGGACUCGGAAUGGCCCCAGACUUGGCGGGCGGCCUCCGUGUGCCAAAAAUAGGCCACGGGCACAGCCGCGCCCAAAAAUCAGCCCCCGAAGGUCGGGGUCCCAAGACCCCCCAGCGGAAAAAUGGCCAAGAAACGGGUGGGCUAUAGCCUUGGUGGGGAGCGUGGGCGAAGUUCGUCCGCGGGACUCGGAAUGGCCCCAGACUUGGCGGGCGGCCUCCGUGUGCCAAAAAUAGGCCACGGGCACAGCCGCGCCGAAAAAUCAGCCCCCGAAGGUCGGGGUCACAAGACCCCCCAGCGGAAAAAAGGCCAAGAAACGCGUGGGCUAUAGCCUUGGUGGGGGGCGUGGGCGAAGUUCGUCCGCGGGACUCGGAAUGGCCCCAGACUUGGCGGGCGGCCUCCGUGUGCCAAAAAUAGGCCACGGGCACAGCCGCGCCCAAAAAUCAGCCCCCGAAGGUCGGGGUCCCAAGACCCCCCAGCGGAAAAAAGGCCAAGAAACGGGUGGGCUAUAGCCUGGUGGGGGGCGGGGCGAAGUCCUUCCGCGGGACUCGGAAUGGCACCAUACUUGGCGGGCGGCCUCCGUGUGCCAAAAAUAGACCACGGGCACAGCCGCGCCCAAAAAUCAGCCCCCGAAAGUCGGGGUCACAACACCCCCCAGCGGAAAAAUGGCCAAAAAACGGGUGGGCUAUAGCCUUGGUGGGGGGCGUGGGCGAAGUUCGUCCGCGGGACUCGGAAUGGCACCAGACUUGGCGGGCGGCCUCCGUGUGCCAAAAAUAGGCCACGGGCACAGCCGCGCCCAAAAAUCAGCCCCCGAAGGUCGGGAUUCCAAGACCCCCCAGCGGAAAAAAGGCCAAAAAACGCGUGGGCUAUAGCCUUGGCGGGGGGCGUGGGCGAAGUUCGUCCGCGGGACUCGGAAUGGCACCAUACUUGGCGGGCGGCCUCCGUGUGCGAAAAAUAGGCCACGGGCACAGCCGCGCCCAAAAAUCAGCCCCCGAAGGUCGGGGUCACAGCACCCCCCAGCGGAAAAAUGGCCAAAAAACGGGUGGGCUAUAGCCUUGGUGGGGGGCGUGGGCGAAGUUCGUCUGCGGGACUCGGAAUGGCCCCAGACUUGGCGGGCGGCCUCCGUGUACCAAAAAUAGGCCACGGGCACAGCCGCGCCCAAAAAUCAGCCCCCGAAGGUCGGGGUCACAGCACCCCCCAGCGGAAAAAUGGCCAAAAAACGGGUGGGCUAUAGCCUUGGUGGGGGGCGUGGGCGAAGUUCGUCCGCGGGACUCGGAAUGGCACCAUACUUGGCGGGCGGCCUCCGUGUGCCAAAAAUAGGCCACGGGCACAGCCGCGCCCAAAAAUCAGCCCCCGAAGGUCGGGGUCACAAGACCCCCCAGCGGAAAAAUGGCCAAAAACCGGGUGGGCUAUAGCCUUGGUGGGGGGCGUGGGCGAAGUUCGUCCGCGGGACUCGGAAUGGCCCCAGACUUGGCGGGCGGCCUCCGUGUGCCAAAAAUAGGCCACGGGCACAGCCGCGCCCAAAAAUCAGCCCCCGAAGGUCGUGGUCCCAAGACCCCCCAGCGGAAAAAUGGCCAAGAAACGGGUGGGCUAUAGCCUUGGUGGGGGGCGUGGGCGAAGUUCGUCCGCGGGACUCGGAAUGGCCCCAGACUUGGCGGGCGGCCUCCGUGUGCCAAAAAUAGGCCACGGGCACAGCCGCGCCCAAAAAUCAGCCCCCGAAGGUCGGGGUCACAAGACCCCCCAGCGGAAAAAAGGCCAAGAAACGCGUGGGCUAUAGCCUUGGUGGGGGGCGUGGGCGAAGUUCGUCCGCGGGACUCGGAAUGGCCCCAGACUUGGCGGGCGGCCUCCGUGUGCCAAAAAUAGGCCACGGGCACAGCCGCGCCCAAAAAUCAGCCCCCGAAGGUCGGGGUCACAAGACCCCCCAGCGGAAAAAAGGCCAAGAAACGCGUGGGCUAUAGCCUUGGUGGGGGGCGUGGGCGAAGUUCGUCCGCGGGACUCGGAAUGGCACCAUACUUGGCGGGCGGCCUCCGUGUGCCAAAAAUAGGCCACGGGCACAGCCGCGCCCAAAAAUCAGCCCCCGAAGGUCGGGGUCCCAAGACCCCCCAGCGGAAAAAUGGCCAAAAAACGGGUGGGCUAUAGCCUUGGUGGGGGGCGUGGGCGAAGUUCGUCCGCGGGACUCGGAAUGGCACCAUACUUGGCGGGCGGCCUCCGUGUGCCAAAAAUAGGCCACGGGCACAGCCGCGCCCAAAAAUCAGCCCCCGAAGGUCGGGGUCCCAAGACCCCCCAGCGGAAAAAUGGCCAAAAAACGGGUGGGCUAUAGCCUUGGUGGGGGGCGUGGGCGAAGUUCGUCCGCGGGACUCGGAAUGGCCCCAGACUUGGCGGGCGGCCUCCGUGUGCCAAAAAUAGGCCACGGGCACAGCCGCGCCCAAAAAUCAGCCCCCGAAGGUCGGGGUCACAGCACCCCCCAGCGGAAAAAUGGCCAAAAAACGGGUGGGCUAUAGCCUUGGUGGGGGGCGUGGGCGAAGUUCGUCCGCGGGACUCGGAAUGGCACCAGACUUGGCGGGCGGCCUCCGUGUGCCAAAAAUAGGCCACGGGCACAGCCGCGCCCAAAAAUCAGCCCCCGAAGGUCGGGAUCCCAAGACCCCCCAGCGGAAAAAAGGCCAAAAAACGCGUGGGCUAUAGCCUUGGUGGGGGGCGUGGGCGAAGUUCGUCCGCGGGACUCGGAAUGGCACCAUACUUGGCGGGCGGCCUCCGUGUGCGAAAAAUAGGCCACGGGCACAGCCGCGCCCAAAAAUCAGCCCCCGAAGGUCGAGGUCCCAAGACCCCCCAGCGGAAAAAAGGCCAAAAAACGCGUGGGCGAUAGCCUUGGUGGGGGGCGUGGGCGAAGUUCGUCCGCGGGACUCGGAAUGCCCCCAUACUUGGCGGGCGGCCUCCGUGUGCCAAAAAUAGGCCACGGGCACAGCCACGCCCAAAAAUCAGCCCCCGAAGGUCGGGGUCACAAGACCCCCCAGCGGAAAAAUGGCCAAAAAACGGGUGGGCUAUAGCCUUGGUGGGGGGCGUGGGCGAAGUUCGUCCGCUGGACUCGGAAUGGCCCCAGACUUUGCGGGCGGCCUCCGUGUGCCAAAAAUAGGCCACGGGCACAGCCGCGCCCAAAAAUCAGCCCCCGAAGGUCGGGGUCCCAAGACCCCCCAGCGGAAAAAUGGCCAAAAAACGGGUGGGCUAUUGCCCUGGUGGGGGGCGUGGGCGAAGUUCGUCCGCGGGACUCGGAAUGGCACCAUACUUGGCGGGCGGCCUCUGUGUGCCAAAAAUAGGCCACGGGCACCGCCGCGCCCAAAAAUCAGCCCCCGAAGGUCGGGGUCCCAAGACCCCCCAGCGGAAAAAUGGCCAAAAAACGGGUGGGCUAUAGCCUUGGUGGGGGGCGUGGGCGAAGUUCGUCCGCGGGACUCGGAAUGGCACCAUACUUGGCGGGCGGCCUCUGUGUGCCAAAAAUAGGCCACGGGCACAGCCGCGCACAAAAAUCAGCCCCCGAAGGUCGGGGUCCCAAGACCCCCCAGCAGAAAAAUGGCCAAAAAACGGGUGGGCUAUAGCCUUGGUGGGGGGCGUGGGCGAACUUCGUCCGCGGGACUCGGAAUGGCCCCUGACUUGGCGGGCGGCCUCCGUGUGCCAAAAAUAGGCCACGGGCACAGCCGCGCCCAAAAAUCAGCCCCCGAAGGUCGGGGUCCCAAGACCCCCCAGCGGAAAAAUGGCCAAAAAACGGGUGGGCUAUAGCCUUGGUGGGGGGUGUGGACGAACUUCGUCCGCGGGACUCGGAAUGGCCCCUGACUUGGCGGGCGGCCUCCGUGUGCCAAAAAUAGGCCACGGGCACAGCCGUGCCCAAAAAUCAGCCCCCGAAGGUCGGGGUCCCAAGACCCACCAGCGGAAAAAUGCCAAAAAACGGGUGGGGCUAUAGCCUUGGUGGGCGGCGUGGGCGAAGUUCGUCCGCGGGACUCGGAAUGGCACCAGUCUCGGCGGGCGGCCUCUGUGUGCCAAAAAUAGGCCACGGGCACAGCCGCGCCCAAAAAUCAGCCCCCGAAGGUCGGGGUCCCAUGACCCCCCAGCGGAAAAAUGGCCAAAAAACGGGUGGGCUAUAGCCUUGGUGGUGGGCGUGGGCGAAGUUCGUCCGCGGGACUCGGAAUGGCACCAUACUUGGCGGGCGGCCUCUGUGUGCCAAAAAUAGGCCACGGGCACAGCCGCGCCCAAAAAUCAGCCCCCGAAGGUCGGGGUCCCAAGACCCCCCAGCGGAAAAAUGGCCAAAAAACGGGUGGGCUAUAGCCUUGGUGGGGGGCGUGCGCGAACUUCGUCCGCGGGACUCGGAAUGGCACCAUAUUUGGCGGGCGGCCUCCGUGUGCCAAAAAUAGGCCACGGGCACAGCCGCGCCCAAAAAUCAGCCCCCGAAGGUUGGGGUCCCAAGACCCCCCAGCGGAAAAAUGGCCAAAAAACGGGUGGGCUAUAGCCUUGGUGGGGGGCGUGGGCGAACUUCGUCCGCGGGACUCGGAAUGGCCCCUGACUUGGCGGGCGGCCUCCGUGUGCCAAAAAUAGGCCACGGGCACAGCCGCGCCCAAAAAUCAGCCCCCGAAGGUCGAGGUCCCAAGACCCCCCAGCGGAAAAAUGGCCAAAAAACGGGUGGGCUAUAGCCUUGGUGGGCGGCGUGGGCGAAGUUCGUCCGCGGGACUCGGAAUGGCACCAUACUUGGCGGGCGGCCUCUGUGUGCCAAAAAUAGGCCACGGGCACAGCCGCGCCCAAAAAUCAGCCCCCGAAGGUCGGGGUCCCAAGACCCCCCAGCAGAAAAAUGGCCAAAAAACGGGUGGGCUAUAGCCUUGGUGGGGGGCGUGGGCGAACUUCGUCCGCGGGACUCGGAAUGGCCCCUGACUUGGCGGGCGGCCUCCGUGUGCCAAAAAUAGGCCACGGGCACAGCCGCGCCCAAAAAUCAGCCCCCGAAGGUCGGGGUCCCAAGACCCCCCAGCGGAAAAAUGGCCAAAAAACGGGUGGGCUAUAGCCUUGGUGGGGGGCGUGGGCGAACUUCGUCCGCGGGACUCGGAAUGGCCCCUGACUUGGUGGGCGUCCUCCGUGUGCCAAAAAUAGGCCACGGGCACAGCCGCGCCCAAAAAUCAGCCCCCGAAGGUCGGGGUCCCAAGACCCCCCAGCGGAAAAAUGGCCAAAAAACGGGUGAGCUAUAGCCUUGGUGGGCGGCGUGGGCGAAGUUCGUCCGCGGGACUCGGAAUGGCACCAUACUUGGCGGGCGGCCUCCGUGUGUCAACAAUAGGCCACGGGCACAGCCGCGCCCAAAAAUCAGCCCCCGAAGGUCGGGGUCCCAAGACCCCCCAGUGGAAAAAUGGCCAAAAAACGGGUGGGCUAUAGCCUUGGUGGGGGGCGUGGGNNNNNNNNNNNNNNNNNNNNNNNNNNNNNNNNNNNNNNNNNNNNNNNNNNNNNNNNNNNNNNNNNNNNNNNNNNNNNNNNNNNNNNNNNNNNNNNNNNNNCGGAAUGGCCCCUGUCUUCGCGGGCGGCCUCCGUGUGCCAAAAAUAGGCCACGGGCACAGCCGCGCCCAAAAAUCAGCCCCCGAAGGUCGGGGUCCCAUGACCCCCCAGCGGAAAAAUGGCCAAAAAACGGGUGGGCUAUAGCCUUGGUGGGGGGCGUGGGCGAAGUUCGUCCGCGGGACUCGGAAUGGCACCAUACUUGGCGGGCGGCCUCUGUGUGCCAAAAAUAGGCCACGGGCACAGCCGCGCCCAAAAAUCAGCCCCCGAAGGUCGGGGUCCCAAGACCCCCCAGCGGAAAAAUGGCCAAAAAACGGGUGGGCUAUAGCCUUGGUGGGGGGCGUGCGCGAACUUCGUCCGCGGGACUCGGAAUGGCACCAUAUUUGGCGGGCGGCCUCCGUGUGCCAAAAAUAGGCCACGGGCACAGCCGCGCCCAAAAAUCAGCCCCCGAAGGUUGGGGUCCCAAGACCCCCCAGCGGAAAAAUGGCCAAAAAACGGGUGGGCUAUAGCCUUGGUGGGGGGCGUGGGCGAACUUCGUCCGCGGGACUCGGAAUGGCCCCUGACUUGGCGGGCGGCCUCCGUGUGCCAAAAAUAGGCCACGGGCACAGCCGCGCCCAAAAAUCAGCCCCCGAAGGUCGAGGUCCCAAGACCCCCCAGCGGAAAAAUGGCCAAAAAACGGGUGGGCUAUAGCCUUGGUGGGCGGCGUGGGCGAAGUUCGUCCGCGGGACUCGGAAUGGCACCAUACUUGGCGGGCGGCCUCUGUGUGCCAAAAAUAGGCCACGGGCACAGCCGCGCCCAAAAAUCAGCCCCCGAAAGUCGGGGUCCCAAGACCCCCCAGCGGAAAAAUGGCCAAAAAACGGGUGGGCUAUAGCCUUGGUGGGGGGCGUGGGCGAACUUCAUCCGCGGGACUC